UCCAGACUCCUACGGGAGGCAGCAGUAGGGAAUAUUGCACAAUGGGGGAAACCCUGAUGCAGCGACGCCGCGUGAGUGAAGAAGUAAUUCGUUAUGUAAAGCUCUAUCAGCAGGGAAGAGAAUGACGGUACCUGAGUAAGAAGCCACGGCUAACUACGUGCCAGCAGCCGCGGUAAUACGUAGGUGGCAAGCGUUGUCCGGAUUUACUGGGUGUAAAGGGCGUGCAGCCGGGAAGACAAGUCAGAUGUGAAAUCCCGCGGCUCAACCGCGGAACUGCAUUUGAAACUGUUUUUCUUGAGUACCGGAGAGGUCAUCGGAAUUCCUUGUGUAGCGGUGAAAUGCGUAGAUAUUAGGAGGAACACCAGUGGCGAAGGCGGCCUGCUGGACGAUGACUGACGUUGAGGCUCGAAAGCGUGGGGAGCAAACAGGAUUAGAUACCCCAGUA
rnacentral:rRNA from 1 species